rnacentral:tRNA from 1 species
CAAAGUAUAGCUAGUAAGAGAAUAGCGUUUCAGUUACGUUGAAAAGAAGGGCCGUGCAAGUCGAUCUACUUUGA